AGAGUUUGAUUCUGGCUCAGAACGAACGCUGGCGGCGUGGAUAAGACAUGCAAGUCGAACGAGAGAAUUGCUAGCUUGCUAAUAAUUCUCUAGUGGCGCACGGGUGAGUAACACGUGAGUAACCUGCCCCCGAGAGCGGGAUAGCCCUGGGAAACUGGGAUUAAUACCGCAUAGUAUCGAAAGAUUAAAGCAGCAAUGCGCUUGGGGAUGGGCUCGCGGCCUAUUAGUUAGUUGGUGAGGUAACGGCUCACCAAGGCGAUGACGGGUAGCCGGUCUGAGAGGAUGUCCGGCCACACUGGAACUGAGACACGGUCCAGACACCUACGGGUGGCAGCAGUCGAGAAUCAUUCACAAUGGGGGAAACCCUGAUGGUGUGACGCCGCGUGGGGGAAUGAAGGUCUUCGGAUUGUAAACCCCUGUCAUGUGGGAGCAAAUUAAAAAGAUAGUACCACAAGAGGAAGAGACGGCUAACUCUGUGCCAGCAGCCGCGGUAAUACAGAGGUCUCAAGCGUUGUUCGGAAUCACUGGGCGUAAAGCGUGCGUAGGCUGUUUCGUAAGUCGUGUGUGAAAGGCGCGGGCUCAACCCGCGGACGGCACAUGAUACUGCGAGACUAGAGUAAUGGAGGGGGAACCGGAAUUCUCGGUGUAGCAGUGAAAUGCGUAGAUAUCGAGAGGAACACUCGUGGCGAAGGCGGGUUCCUGGACAUUAACUGACGCUGAGGCACGAAGGCCAGGGGAGCGAAAGGGAUUAGAUACCCCUGUAGUCCUGGCAGUAAACGGUGCACGCUUGGUGUGCGGGGAAUCGACCCCCUGCGUGCCGGAGCUAACGCGUUAAGCGUGCCGCCUGGGGAGUACGGUCGCAAGAUUAAAACUCAAAGAAAUUGACGGGGACCCGCACAAGCGGUGGAGUAUGUGGCUUAAUUCGAUGCAACGCGAAGAACCUUACCUGGGCUUGACAUGUAAUGAACAACAUGUGAAAGCAUGCGACUCUUCGGAGGCGUUACACAGGUGCUGCAUGGCCGUCGUCAGCUCGUGUCGUGAGAUGUUUGGUUAAGUCCAGCAACGAGCGCAACCCCUGUUGCCAGUUACCAGCACGUGAAGGUGGGGACUCUGGCGAGACUGCCCAGAUCAACUGGGAGGAAGGUGGGGACGACGUCAGGUCAGUAUGGCCCUUAUGCCCAGGGCUGCACACGUACUACAAUGCCCAGUACAGAGGGGGCCGAAGCCGCGAGGCGGAGGAAAUCCUGAAAACUGGGCCCAGUUCGGACUGUAGGCUGCAACCCGCCUACACGAAGCCGGAAUCGCUAGUAAUGGCGCAUCAGCUACGGCGCCGUGAAUACGUUCCCGGGUCUUGUACACACCGCCCGUCACAUCAUGGAAGCCGGUCGCACCCGAAGUAUCUGAAGCCAACCGCAAGGAGGCAGGGUCCUAAGGUGAGACUGGUAACUGGGAUGAAGUCGUAACAAGGUAGCCGUAGGGGAACCUGCGG
rnacentral:rRNA from 4 species